AACGAACGCUGGCGGCAGGCUUAACACAUGCAAGUCGAACGCCCCGCAAGGGGAGUGGCAGACGGGUGAGUAACGCGUGGGAAUCUACCGUACCCUACGGAAUAACGCAUGGAAACGUGUGCUAAUACCGUAUACGCCCUACGGGGGAAAGAUUUAUCGGGGUAUGAUGAGCCCGCGUUGGAUUAGCUAGUUGGUGGGGUAAAGGCCUACCAGGGCGACGAUCCAUAGCUGGUCUGAGAGGAUGAUCAGCCACAUUGGGACUGAGACACGGCCCAAACUCCUACGGGAGGCAGCAGGGGGGAAUAUUGGACAAUGGGCGCAAGCCUGAUCCAGCCAUGCCGCGUGAGUGAUGAAGGCCCUAGGGUUGUAAAGCUCUUUCACCGGUGAAGAUAAUGACGGUAACCGGAGAAGAAGCCCCGGCUAACUUCGUGCCAGCCGCCGCGGUAAUAC
rnacentral:rRNA from 1 species